rnacentral:rRNA from 1 species
CCUACGGGUGGCAGCAGUAAGGAAUAUUGGUCAAUGGGCGGAAGCCUGAACCAGCCAUGCCGCGUGCAGGAAGACGGCCUAUGGGUUGUAAACUGCUUUUGCAGGGGAAUAUGUACUCUGAGAAUAAGGAUCGGCUAACUCCGUGCCAGCAGCCGCGGUAAUACGGAGGAUCCAAGCGUUAUCCGGAUUUAUUGGGUUUAAAGGGUGCGUAGGCGGCCUAUUAAGUCAGGGGUGAAAGACGGUAGCUUAACUAUCGCAGUGCCUUUGAUACUGAUGGGCUUGAAUGGACUAGAGGUAGGCGGAAUGUGACAAGUAGCGGUGAAAUGCAUAGAUAUGUCACAGAACACCAAUUGCGAAGGCAGCUUACUAUGUUAAUUGACGCUGAGGCACGAAAGCGUGGGGAUCAAACAGGAUUAGAUACCCUUGUAGUC